UUUUUUUUUUUUUUUUUUUUUUUUUGGUUUUGGCCGAGCCCAUGGUAUGUGGAAGUUCCCCAGACCAGAGAUCUAACCAGUGCUACAGCAAUGAUCCAAGUCACAGCAGUGACAACGCCAGAUCCUUAACCCACUGAGCCAGCCACCAGGGAACUUUGUAGUCUGGACUCUUAGUUUGUUUCCCUGGAAUAUUUCACUGUCUGCAAUCUGGUUCCUCCCUCUCCUUCUGUCCAUCUGCCCUGCAUGUUGCUAUGAAAGCAUCUCUCAUCAGCACAGAUUGAGGAGGCAUUGCUCCUGGUUCCCUGGUUUCUGCUCACUACGACCUAAUUCAUCAUUCCACAAGCAGCUGUGACCAUCUGAGGUUCACCACACCACGCUGCCAAGUCAAUCUUUAAUCACAUUCUAUUUUUUUCCCCUUUUCAUGCCUUUCUUUACUCUGUUCUCUAUUCUGGGCAUUUCAACAUCACCUCGUCUGAAAAUCCCUCUGUGACUUGCCCACCCUGAGUUAGUGGGUAGCCUCUGAUCUCCCAGAGGCCCUUGCGUGGACCUCAAGUAUGGCACUUAGCACAUGACAUUGUAAAUCUCCCAACUAUUACACUGAGAUCCUUCAGGUGAAGAAUGUUCGAUGAGCACCCUGGUACAGAGUGGUAUUCAGUGCAUGUAUGUUGGCUUAGUGAAGCAAUCACCCAAUAUGCUAACCGAGCAGUCACAACUCCGUCAAAGCAGUUUGCUGUCUGUGUAACAACAAAAGCUUUAAAAGAGAUGAUUUCUUUUAAUACACCUACCCUUUCAUAAUACCUGAGAAGAGUGUGGUAGAAAGUAUUGAAAAUCAAUGCCAUGUCUCCUGAAAAGGUAGAGAGAUCCAUCCUGGCCCCUGGACUAUAAAUAUUAUUUGGGUUUUGGUUCAUAUAUACGUUUAUCUUUAAUAACAAUCUUAAAAAAAAAUAAAUGACAGGGUGGGAAUUUAAUUGCUUGAGAUGUUUACUUUUCCAGAAUAGAAACAAUAAAGAGAACGGAAUUAAAUUCAUCGGCCAGACACUUGGGCUAUUUGUGGAUAUACCCUAAGGCUCCAGGCGAUGGUGAUAACCAGCUCUCUGGGCUGGUAGGGGGGCGGGUAGGGGGAGAGAAAGCCACAAUUUUGUAGUAUUUGCCAAUUUCCAUAGUGCGAAUUCUCCCACCUUGGUGGAUUUCAAGCCACCAAGGUAAAGUCACUGCGUAUAGAGUUGGGACCUGGUGCAAGUCAGGUCCAGCAUCAGACCAGUGUGUAUGGACUGGGAUGCCCAGAUGAGGCGGCAAAAAAAACCUAGUGCUCCUGCUUCUCUGUAUGGGGCUGUCCUUGUCAUGCAUUUGUUUGCUUCUUUGUUUUAGCCAAAAAGAUGGAGUUUAGCAUCAGAACAACCUGGCAGGAAUGCAGGCUCUGCCUUAGAGGUUCAGCACUGGGCAAGUUGCUUAAUGUGUCAGUCUCCGCAUCUGCCAACAGGACUUGUAAUAUAAUAACAACCUUUCGGUGUCGUUAGAUAUGUCAUACUACCCGCCGAGGGCUUAUGUAGCACUUGGCACUGAGUGAGCACUUGGUAAAUAGUAUCAAUGGAUGCUGGUGAAGAAGAAAAUAAAAAUAAUAUUCCUUUGUUCUCAGCAGUGGGUGAGGAGGGAUAGUCCCCUGAGAUUCAGGUGCUUAGUUUGGUGCUAGUAUCAUGUUAACCAGCUUCCUGGCUUCUCCCUUCUGGCUGCUACUGACUCCAGUUCCUAUUUAUCUGGCUGGUUCUUUGGGCUCUGCCUCAUUCUUCCUCUUCACCUCCUGUGGGGCUUGGGGCUGGUUGUUGCACAGACUUGUGUAACUUCACCUGCGACAUGUGUGUUUUCUUAGUUUUCAUUUUCACUUGGUCUGUCUCAUCAUGACCCAACUCCCUUGAUGUGGGGGACUAGUCUAAGCAUUUUUUUCAAAAAUAUAUACCUGAGGAGUUCCCUGGUGGCUCAAUGGUUUAAGGAUCCAGUGUCGUCACUGCUGUGGCUCUGGUUAAGGCUAUGCCAUAGGUUGGAUCCAAGGCUUUCACAUCAUCCAUCCUCGAAGGCUGGGGAAUCUGCGUCUAUCCUGGGACUCGGCAGCUGCACAGUCUCCCCCUCGGCUCGGCUAUCAGGUGCCCCCUGGGCAAACUCCUUUCUUCCUCUGCCUUUUUCUUGAGGACUCAGAGUCUACUGGGUACCAGGCACUGCAUGAGGCAUUUUGCUGUGUUUUUUCAUCAAAUCCUUCCAGUAAUUCUGUGAAGCGGCUAGUAUCAUACACCCCUUUUAUAGUGGAGAGGCUGAGAUGCCAAGAGAUUAAGGAGCUUGCUUAAGGCCAGAGAGCUAGUACCUGGCAGAGCUGAAGCUGGGAUCUCUGAGCUGAGACUUCCUUUUCUAGACAAUUCACUGCCUGACCCCAAUUUUCCUGCCUGACCACAGUCCCACAGAGGCAUCUCUUUUGUACUCCCAGUGUAGAAUCCACAUUCAAUUUCUUAAUUAAAGAAGUUCCCGAUUUAGGGGAACAUCACAAAUGUAAUCGCCUUGUAUUAUCCUUUUCUAUUUUUUAAUCGUUUUCUUUUUUCUCUCUCUCUCUUUCUUAAAGAGCUUCGGCACAUGGAUUUGACAUUUUAAUCAGCCUCUGAUGAUUGGGAGUUUGUGUCUGCUCUAGGCCUCAGCCCCAGCUGCUCACCGCCUGUGCGAAUGUGAUUGGAAAUCAGAGGGAAUCAGUCUCAAACUGAGAAAACACCAGUGGUCCAUCAGUCACUUUCUGAGAAAAUAGUUACUCCUGGAAAUGCCAUCAUUCCUGAAUCCACUUCUCUGCAGAAGUGAAGAGUCUAAGUGGAUCCCUCAGAGCAGCUUUGACACUGAACAUGCAGAGGAGGAGUGAUGGUGCAGGAAGGCAGGAGGGUUCUUUGAGCAAGGGGGACACACGGGAGCCAGAAGGAAAGAACACAGUUAGUGGUUGGUACCCAGGUAGAAGGGCAUUCUACUGUAUUUUCUACACGUUCUCUUGGCUCCCAGUGUAACUUCAUGGUUGGGCUGUGAGAACUUGCACCUGGCCUUGUUCUUUAAUGGUUAAUAGGACUCUGAUUUUUAAAGCCAAAGGGUUCAAAAGGGUCCUAUUGAAAUAAAAUACUAUAUGGAGCUCCUGUGAUGGCUCAGUGGACACGAAGCCGACUAGUAUCCAUGAGGAUGUGGGUUCGAUCCCUGGCCUCACUCAGUGGGUUAAAGAUCUGGCAUUGCCAUGAGCUCUGGUGUAGGUUGCCUAUGUGACUCAGAUCCCGCGUUGCUGUGGCUGUGGUAUAGGCUGGCAGCUGCAGCUCCGAUUUGACCGACCCCUAGCCUGGGAACUUCCAUAUGCUGCAGGUGCCACCCUAAAAAGACAAAAAGGAAGAAGAAAGAAAUAGAAUACUAUAGACUGAUAGCUCUAUUGCAAAUGAUUCUUUGUACUGCAAGUAUCCAUCUAUAAAUCCUUUCUCAGCGGGCAGUGGUAGCCAGGCAUACCUGGGUACUUCCUGAGACUGUGUUUUGUUUAGUCUUAUCUCAUCAGCCCCGCAAGGAUCUCUUUCUGCCCCCACAUUGGCAGAGAUUCUCACAGGUGCUCACAGGUGAAUUACAGGGGAACUUCUCUGGCUCCCAUAGUUUCUAAAAGCCAGCAGCAUGCUGAGUGCUGCUCAGAAUGGGGAGCCCCAAAAGCCCCCAGUGUGGAGCAAGUCGGCCUCCAGAAAGCCUAGGAGCCCAUGGCCAGCGAAAGCCUAGGAGGCCAUAAAAGAAGGCAGAGCGGAGGGAUGGAGAGAGGCAGUCAUCGCACACAGGAAAUCUACCUGGGGGCCGUACUCACUGCAGGCCUGUCUGUGGCAUGUUCUACAGAUGGAAACAAGGAAAUCCAGUCCCUGUCAGCUUCAAGAUCACCCUCAAGGUCACCCUCUUCUUGGGAUCCCAGGUGCUCACGCUCGGAUUCUGCUGUGUCCCAAGCCCAACAGUUUACAUAACUGGACCAGGCAUUUCUUCAUUGUUUAACAAGCAGGUGUUGGUGACCUUUCACAAUCUCCCAGCCCUCGGCCAAGGUAACCCCCGUGUCCAUGUCUCUGGAUGCAUGUCUGCACAUGUGCGCAGAAGUUCAUGUGCGGUACAGGCAAAUACAGGGGUGUGGUGGUCGGGCUUUGGGGCCACUCCAGAGCAUUUUUAAAGCCCUUCGAAUGCCUAUCUUCAGGAUAGGGGAUUUCCUCUACAAAUAGGUAACCCCAACAGAUCUUAACUUCCAGAGCAGCAUGUGCCUCCAGUGGGAGGCAGCAACUUAAGGGAAAAUGCUACCGAUUAUCAUGUGCUUCUGUUUCCUUAGGGAUGUGUGUUCCGGAAGAGAAAACAUUGGCAUCCUAUCCAUCAAAGCAGAGAACACACUGUUUUAUCUCUUUCCCUAGAAGUUUCAGGAAUUUCCAUUCUAUCCGGUGGGAGUUGACACAUCCUUCGAAGAUAAUCUGUUUCAGCCUCCAUCUUAUGUACCACAUGUUCCUGACGCAUAUUCUUAUGUUAAGGAAGAGAUCUUCCUUUAUUGAAAAUGACAUUGUUGGAAAUCAACAAUCAGGCAUCAGUUGGCCCACUCUCGCACUUAAAAGCCAGAAAACUCCUAAUGUUUCUUAACUUCUAUUUGGCCUUCUGAUAAAGUUGUAAGUAUGUGGUUAGCAGGUGGCUGGUGGCCGAACCUAAUGGCCAGGGUGUCUGGUCUGAUCUGUGUCAGGGGGAUGAUUGGCAUCCUUCAGUCGUGCCUUCAUCUGAGUUAUGCUCUUUUGAAGUGACAAGACAGAUCUUGUGUGUGUGUUCUGAGUGUGGCUUUGGGGAAUGUUGAUAUGGGGAUUGUAAAUACUUGCGAGCCAAGAGUGGGUGCAUACAGAGACAGAAAGGUGGCACCCACAUACUGUGACCAUAUAAGGCUGUAAAGUCAAAGGAAGGAGCUAGGGUUGGUGUAAAUAAAGAGCAGAGAGAAUCGGGGUUAAUCAGAACAGAAACUCUCUGUGCCUUUGUGGAUAUGCACCUGGCUAGGGGCCAGGUUUAGAUGGGGAGUUCAGGCUGACAGACAACAGCCUGAAGUUUCUGGCUGUGAAUUAUUUUCCUUCAUCUUGUGUCUGCUGGUAUCACCCUUAGCUAAACAAUAUCAUUCACAUGAGGCCACUGGUUUCAAAAUAAGUGACUUCCUCAAAAAAAAAAAAAAGCAUUCAUGCUCGAAAUUCAGCAAUCUCUAUUAUGCAUUUCUAAAGACUUAAAAUAUUAUAGAUUUGUUUUCCUCGGACCCUGGAAACUUUCUCAGGAUGCGGUUAGGAAUGUUGCCUUUUCUUGUUCAUAGUAUCAGUUAAGGUGCUAUAUCUUAGUAUGUUAUCAUUUUGAUACAAGGGGCUAAGAAACACUAACAGGAAAACAAUCCCUGCCCCCAAAAUAAUCCUAUUCACUUACAUGGCUGUGGCCAAUGGGUGAAUUACUGCCCACAACAUUCUGUGAUAGUGGUGAGAAUGAGGCACAGCCAGGAAAUGGGACCAGAGUUAAGUAAAAUCAAGUUCCUAUUUUCACAGGGCCACCAUGACAAGUGUGAGGCAAAUGCCAACAGACUCGUUGUUGCAGGAAAACGUGCUGAGGCCAAGGCAGAAGAAAGCACAGGAUGCUGGGCGAUGGCCGGACAGCCAGAAAAAAUCCCGGAUGGGCAGGUCCAGCGAAGCCCAGGGAAUGGGAGUGGCUUCGUGGGGUGCGUGCGGGCCUGACACUCCUGGGAGAGGGGGCUGUCGAGGCUGGGAGAGCCCAGCCUGGCCAGGAAGAGAAACCACACUGGUACCGUGGGGGUCAAGCCCUGCAUGGGAAAGUGGGGACAAAGCCCAGCCAGGAACGCUAGCCUGACUGUGAGCCCGUGAGGUGGCCUGUACUCCCAAUGGGGCACAUUUUCCUAAUUUGUCCACUCGGAGGGGAGCCUUUUGCUUGUUCUAAUUGGUAUAAGGUACUUACAGAUUGUGACCCAGUUACAUGUCACUGGCCUUUCAGGACACCUUAGAGCAUUUCUUCUAAGAGCUGCAAAUAAUUGUACUGAGAACUGUACGAAAGAAAUGGUUCUCUAAGCUGGGGUGACUAAAGCAGGAGAGGUCUCCCAUGAGCUGACCCAUCUUGGAUGGAGCCCUGCAUCCAGGGCAGCUCAGGGUUUGAGCAGAGGGAGCUGGGAUUGAGAUGGAAAUGGAGAGGCUGCCUGGCCCCCUGGACGAGGGUCUGAGCCAAUCUCUCUUGGCUCCAGCCUGGUCCAUAAGCUGGGAAACUGGGAUGGGACACACGCCUGCAGUAAGAGGAGUUUGGGUCUCCAAGCAGCAGGGUCAUCUGUUCUCCUCCGGACCACUGCAGAUGUGUAGCAUCCUUUAUACCUGGACAUGGAUGCAGGGAGGGGAAGUGAGCAGUUCUUGGGCGGGAUGAUGUAAGGGGACCAGCACUGAUUGCCAACUCUAUGGGGGCGGGGACAGGGAGUUGGCUCAUGGAAGAUGCUCCAUAGAGCAUCUUGGAGCAAAGGGAGGAGGGGAGGGAGGGAGUGAAUGGUGGCUGGACUG
rnacentral:lncRNA from 1 species